rnacentral:rRNA from 1 species
GACGAACGCUGGCGGCGUGCUUAACACAUGCAAGUCGAACGGAGCUAUUUAUUUCGGUAGAUAGCUUAGUGGCAAACGGGUGAGUAGCGCGUAGGCAACCUGCCCUCAGGAUGGGGACAACGGCUCGAAAGAGCCGCUAAUACCGAAUGACGUAACUCUUCCACAUGGAAGAGAUACUAAAGAUGGGUCAAACCAUCGCCUAAGGAUGGGCCUGCGUCUGAUUAGCCAGUUGGUGAGGUAACGGCUCACCAAAGCGACGAUCAGUAGCCGGUCUGAGAGGAUGAACGGCCACAAUGGGACUGAGACACGGCCCAUACUCCUACGGGAGGCAGCAGUGGGGAAUCUUCCGCAAUGGGCGAAAGCCUGACGGAGCAACGCCGCGUGAGUGAAGAAGGUCUUCGGAUCGUAAAGCUCUGUUGUCGGGGACGAAAGAGUAGACGAGGAAAUGCGUUUACUAAGACG